rnacentral:lncRNA from 1 species
ACAGCUUGACACUGGGCGGUACCACCAUCGUUUUUCGAAAAAGUAUAAUUCGUACUUUCCAGCUCAUAGGCAAUACCAACGACUAGCCUAGUGGUGCCAACGCAUGGCCCAACCUCAAGUCACUGAAUUGGCCUUCCAAUAGGCCCAAUUCAACCUUGAUUUAGGCCCAAUGAGCUCCUAAUUAAGUUAGCAUGGUUACACCCAAAACCAACUUAAUUAGACUCUAAACUAUUUCGAUUAAGACAACGAUUACAAUCAUGAAGCCUACGUUGUUCGACAUGUCAUUAGUUCAUCCGGUACUUCGUCCAAACUUUCUACGCGUCGUCCUUUCCUUCGGUGUAUUGUCUGAUCCUUCGGCAUGUUGACCUCCCACAACAUCUGAUCUUCUUGGCGCAAUAUCCGAUCCUUCUGGCCCAAUGCCCGAUCUCUGACAUGAUGCACUUCGGCCCAACAUCUGAUUCUCCUACUUUAGUGAUUUGUCUUUCCAUGAUCAAAGUUUGUCCUGCAUCACUUUUCUCAAACGCUCAUUAGUUCAUAAACUCAUCAAUUGAUUUCAUCAUCAAAAUUCGAGAUUUAACAAUCUCGCCCGUUUUGAUGAUGACAACCAAUUGAUGACGGAGUUUUUACUAAACUCCCCCUGUCCAUAUAUCAUAUUGAAAUAAACUCUAAUUUAGAAAAUGAUAACCCUUUAAUGCUAGUCUUGGAAUUCAAGUCGAAACAAUUUUAAUCAUAGCGACUUUCUUUGUAAAAGUCAUAUGCAAUACAUCAUAGUACAUAUCAUAUGCAUAGUUAAAAAAUUAUUUCAUGUAUCAUAAUAUCAAAUCAU